GUUUGUGGCUCAGUGGUAGAGUGUUCGCCUAGUACAUGUGAAGCCCUGAGUUCAAUCCUUAGCACCACA
rnacentral:tRNA from 1 species